UGGGGAAUAUUGCACAAUGGGCGCAAGCCUGAUGCAGCCAUGCCGCGUGUGUGAAGAAGGCCUUAGGGUUGUAAAGCACUUUCAGCGAGGAGGAAGGCAUCAUACUUAAUACGUGUGGUGAUUGACGUUACUCGCAGAAGAAGCACCGGCUAACUCCGUGCCAGCAGCCGCGGUAAUACGGAGGGUGCAAGCGUUAAUCGGAAUUACUGGGCGUAAAGCGCACGCAGGCGGUUUGUUAAGUCAGAUGUGAAAUCCCCGCGCUUAACGUGGGAACUGCAUUUGAAACUGGCAAGCUAGAGUCUUGUAGAGGGGGGUAGAAUUCCAGGUGUAGCGGUGAAAUGCGUAGAGAUCUGGAGGAAUACCGGUGGCGAAGGCGGCCCCCUGGACAAAGACUGACGCUCAGGUGCGAAAGCGUGGGGAGCAAACA
rnacentral:rRNA from 2 species